AGAGUUUGGUCCUGGCUCAGGAUGAACGCUGGCGGCGUGCCUAACACAUGCAAGUCGAGCGAUUCUCUUCGGAGAAGAGCGGCGGACGGGUGAGUAACGCGUGGGUAACCUGCCCUGUACACACGGAUAACAUACCGAAAGGUAUGCUAAUACGGGAUAACAUAAGAAAUUCGCAUGUUUUUCUUAUCAAAGCUCCGGCGGUACAGGAUGGACCCGCGUCUGAUUAGCUAGUUGGUGAGGUAACGGCUCACCAAGGCGACGAUCAGUAGCCGACCUGAGAGGGUGAUCGGCCACAUUGGAACUGAGACACGGUCCAAACUCCUACGGGAGGCAGCAGUGGGGAAUAUUGCACAAUGGGCGAAAGCCUGAUGCAGCAACGCCGCGUGAGCGAUGAAGGCCUUCGGGUCGUAAAGCUCUGUCCUCAAGGAAGAUAAUGACGGUACUUGAGGAGGAAGCCCCGGCUAACUACGUGCCAGCAGCCGCGGUAAUACGUAGGGGGCUAGCGUUGUCCGGAAUUACUGGGUGUAAAGGGAGCGCAGGCGGGCGAUCAAGUUGGAAGUGAAAUCCAUGGGCUCAACCCAUGAACUGCUUUCAAAACUGAAUGUCUUGAGUAGUGCAGAGGUAGGCGGAAUUCCCGGUGUAGCGGUGGAAUGCGUAGAUAUCGGGAGGAACACCAGUGGCGAAGGCGGCCUACUGGGCACCAACUGACGCUGAGGCUCGAAAGUGUGGGUAGCAAACAGGAUUAGAUACCCUGGUAGUCCACACCGUAAACGAUGAUUACUAGGUGUUGGAGGAUUGACCCCUUCAGUGCCGCAGUUAACACAAUAAGUAAUCCACCUGGGGAGUACGACCGCAAGGUUGAAACUCAAAGGAAUUGACGGGGGCCCGCACAAGCAGUGGAGUAUGUGGUUUAAUUCGACGCAACGCGAAGAACCUUACCAAGUCUUGACAUCCUGCGACGAUGCUAGAAAUAGUAUUUUCCUUCGGGACGCAGAGACAGGUGGUGCAUGGUUGUCGUCAGCUCGUGUCGUGAGAUGUUGGGUUAAGUCCCGCAACGAGCGCAACCCUUAUGGUCAGUUACUACGCAAGAGGACUCUGGCCAGACUGCCGUUGACAAAACGGAGGAAGGUGGGGAUGACGUCAAAUCAUCAUGCCCUUUAUGACUUGGGCUACACACGUACUACAAUGGCGUUAAACAAAGAGAAGCAAGACCGCGAGGUGGAGCAAAACUCAGAAACAACGUCCAGUUCGGACUGCAGGCUGCAACUCGCCUGCACGAAGUCGGAAUUGCUAGUAAUCGUGGAUCAGCAUGCCACGGUGAAUACGUUCCCGGGCCUUGUACACACCGCCCGUCACACCAUGAGAGCCGGGGGGACCCGAAGUCGGUAGUCUAACCGCAAGGAGGACGCCGCCGAAGGUAAAACUGGUGAUUGGGGUGAAGUCGUAACAAGGUA
rnacentral:rRNA from 1 species